AGGGAUGUCGCUCAGUGGCACAGUGCCUGCCUGGCAAGCAGGAGGUCCCGAGUUCCAUCCCUG
rnacentral:tRNA from 1 species